UACGUAGGUGGCGAGCGUUAUCCGGAAUCAUUGGGCGUAAAGAGGGAGCAGGCGGCGAUACAGGUCUGUGGUGAAAUUCCGAAGCUAAACUUCGGCCAGCCAAAGAAACCGGAUCGCUAGAGUGCGGAAGAGGAUCGUGGAAUUCCAUGUGUAGCGGUGAAAUGCGUAGAUAUAUGGAGGAACACCAGUGGCGAAGGCGACGGUCUGGGCCGCAACUGACGCUCAUUCCCGAAAGCGUGGGGAGCAAAUAGG
rnacentral:rRNA from 2 species